rnacentral:lncRNA from 1 species
AGCUAUCACAUAAACAAGUUGAUGUAAUUGUAUAGUGAAUUUAAUAUAAUUAACUGCCUCAGUUUGCCUGGAAUUUUCCAGAAAGUGGGCCUUUCAGGUACUUAAUCAAGAAAAGCCAUGGCAAACUGUGAAGACUUAGUCACCCUCGGAAUUGAUGAGAGGCAAGCACUGGUGACAUAGAGACUCAUCAGCUGAUUGAAACCUGCAAACAAGUCCAUGCUCUUUGAUUCUGCUCACAUGAAGCUCUAGAAGAGGCAGAACUGAGUUGGCAAAACAAAAAUGAGAGUAUUUCUAUGUGAGGAUGACUGGCUGUGUGGGAACUCUGGGUCAGUGAUGAUGGCCUACAUCUUAGCAGAACUUUAGCCUACAGAGUGGUUGCACCCUUUUUCCAGUUCUUAAUCCUAUUUGUUUUUUAAAUCACUGUUAUUCUUCCAUUGUUUUAUAUAACUAGACUAUAAGUUGUUUUUAUGAGUUACUUCAUUGUUACUGAUUCUUUGCCCAUUGACCCCUUAAAAACAACCUUAGACUAUUUUUAGGUUUAAGCAGAGUGUCUUGGUUAAGGUUUUACUGCUGUGAACAGACACCAUGACCAAGGCAAGUCUUAUAAAAAAAAACAACAUUUAAUUGGGGCUGGCUUAUAGGUUCAGAGGUUCAGUCCAUUAUCAUCAAGGUGGGAGCAUGGCAGUAUCCAGGCAGGCAUGGCGCAGGCAGAGCUGAGAGUUCUACAUCUUCAUUCAAAGGCCACUAGUGGAAGACUGACUUCCAGGCAACUAGGGUGUGGAUCUUAAGCCCACACCCACAGUGACACACCUACUCCAACCAGGUCACCCCUAUUCCAAUAAGGCCACACCUCCAAAUGGUGCCACUCCCUGGCCCAAGAAUAUACAAACCAUCACACAGAGGUAGCCCAUUUUACUCAGUUAUUUUAUUUUACAAAGUGUUCUCUUUCUCACUCUCUCUCUCUCCCCUCCUUUCCUCCUUCCCUUCCCCUCUCUCUCUCUCUCUCUCUCUCUCUCUCUCUCUCUCUCUCUCUCUCUCUUUCUCUGGGGGAAAAGGCAAGUGUGCAUGUGUGACCUUGUACUUUGGUGAGUAAUUCAUACAGUAUUCUUUUUUUUUUAUUUAUACUUAACAUACUUCUCAAUUAUAUGACUCUUUUAAUAUCUAUUCUGAGCAGAAUAUCGAGUCACAGAAUAGUUCCAACUAUUCAGGAGGCUAAGAUAGAAUUUUACUGAAGGUCACAGAGUUCAAGAACAGUCAGGAAUCAUAGUGAGACAUUUUCAUAUAUUUUUAAACUCUGGAUUGAUUCUAAGUUAAUGUUUUUAUUAAUUUGGGGGAGUCAGAAAAAUUAAAAUGUAUGUUACUGAAGAUUUUAACUUUUAAGUUUUUCAAACUUCAUUCAUUCAUGUACUAUGAAAUAAACAUUUUGUUAUAAUUGUACUGGGUUGGUUCAAAGAAUAAAUCUACUGCCAACAUC